AGUCGAGGGGCAGCAUUUCAGUUUGCUUGCAAACUGGAGAUGGCGACCGGCGCACGGGUGAGUAACACGUAUCCAACCUGCCGAUAACUCGGGGAUAGCCUUUCGAAAGAAAGAUUAAUACCCGAUGGCAUAAUUAGACCGCAUGGUCUUAUUAUUAAAGAAUUUCGGUUAUCGAUGGGGAUGCGUUCCAUUAGGCAGUUGGUGAGGUAACGGCUCACCAAACCUUCGAUGGAUAGGGGUUCUGAGAGGAAGGUCCCCCACAUUGGAACUGAGACACGGUCCAAACUCCUACGGGAGGCAGCAGUGAGGAAUAUUGGUCAAUGGACGAGAGUCUGAACCAGCCAAGUAGCGUGAAGGAUGACUGCCCUAUGGGUUGUAAACUUCUUUUAUAUGGGAAUAAAGUUUUCCACGUGUGGAAUUUUGUAUGUACCAUAUGAAUAAGGAUCGGCUAACUCCGUGCCAGCAGCCGCGGUAAUACGGAGGAUCCGAGCGUUAUCCGGAUUUAUUGGGUUUAAAGGGAGCGUAGGUGGACAGUUAAGUCAGUUGUGAAAGUUUGCGGCUCAACCGUAAAAUUGCAGUUGAUACUGGCUGUCUUGAGUACAGUAGAGGUGGGCGGAAUUCGUGGUGUAGCGGUGAAAUGCUUAGAUAUCACGAAGAACUCCGAUUGCGAAGGCAGCUCACUGGACUGCAACUGACACUGAUGCUCGAAAGUGUGGGUAUCAAACAGGAUUAGAUACCCUGGUAGUCCACACAGUAAACGAUGAAUACUCGCUGU
rnacentral:rRNA from 1 species